GGGGGCGUGGCGGAAUGGUAGACGCAGGGGACUCAAAAUCCCCCGGCCGCAAGGCUAUGCCGGUUCGAGUCCGGCCGCCCCUACCA
rnacentral:tRNA from 1 species